CCUUAGGGUUGUAAAAUUCUUUCGCUAGGGAUGAUAAUGACAGUACCUAGUAAAGAAGCCCCGGCUAACUUCGUGCCAGCAGCCGCGGUAAUACGAAGGGGGCUAGCGUUGUUCGGAAUUACUGGGCGUAAAGCGUACGUAGGCGGACUAUUAAGUCAGAUGUGAAAUCCCGAGGCUCAACCUCGGAACUGCAUUUGAAACUGGUAGUCUAGAGAUCAGGAGAGGUUAGUGGAAUACCGAGUGUAGAGGUGAAAUUCGUAGAUAUUCGGUGGAACACCAGUGGCGAAGGCGACUAACUGGACUGAUACUGACGCUGAGGUACGAAAGUGUGGGGAGCAAACAGGAUUAGAUACCCUGGUAGUCCACACCGUAAACGAUGAGAGCUAGUUGUCUGCAGGCAUGCCUGUAGGUGACGCAGCUAACGCAUUAAGCUCUCCGCCUGGGGAGUACGGCCGCAAGGUUAAAACUCAAAGAAAUUGACGGGGGCCCGCACAAGCGGUGGAGCAUGUGGUUUAAUUCGAAGCAACGCGCAGAACCUUACCUACGCUUGACAUGCCUGGACGACUCCGAGAGAUCGGUUUCUCCCUUCGGGGCCAGUGCACAGGUGCUGCAUGGCUGUCGUCAGCUCGUGCCGUGAGAUGUUGGGUUAAGUCCCGCAACGAGCGCAACCCUCAUCCUUAGUUGCCAUCACGUUUGGGUGGGCACUCUAGGGAAACUGCCGGUGCUAAGCCGGAGGAAGGCGGGGAUGACGUCAAGUCCUCAUGGCCCUUACGCGUAGGGCUACACACGUGCUACAAUGGCAGUGACAAUGGGAUAAUCCCCAAAAGCUGUCUCAGUUCGGAUUGUCGGCUGCAACUCGCCGGCAUGAAGUUGGAAUCGCUAGUAAUCGUGGAUCAGCAUGCCACGGUGAAUACGUUCCCGGGCCUUGUACACACCGCCCGU
rnacentral:rRNA from 1 species